UGCAGUCGAACGAUGAUGCCCACUUGUGGGUGGAUUAGUGGCGAACGGGUGAGUAACACGUGAGUAACCUGCCCUUAACUCUGGGAUAAGCCUGGGAAACUGGGUCUAAUACCGGAUAUGACUCCUCAUCGCAUGGUGGGGGGUGGAAAGCUUUAUUGUGGUUUUGGAUGGACUCGCGGCCUAUCAGCUUGUUGGUGAGGUAAUGGCUCACCAAGGCGACGACGGGUAGCCGGCCUGAGAGGGUGACCGGCCACACUGGGACUGAGACACGGCCCAGACUCCUACGGGAGGCAGCAGUGGGGAAUAUUGCACAAUGGGCGAAAGCCUGAUGCAGCGACGCCGCGUGAGGGAUGACGGCCUUCGGGUUGUAAACCUCUUUCAGUAGGGAAGAAGCGAAAGUGACGGUACCUGCAGAAGAAGCGCCGGCUAACUACGUGCCAGCAGCCGCGGUAAUACGUAGGGCGCAAGCGUUAUCCGGAAUUAUUGGGCGUAAAGAGCUCGUAGGCGGUUUGUCGCGUCUGCCGUGAAAGUCCGGGGCUCAACUCCGGAUCUGCGGUGGGUACGGGCAGACUAGAGUGAUGUAGGGGAGACUGGAAUUCCUGGUGUAGCGGUGAAAUGCGCAGAUAUCAGGAGGAACACCGAUGGCGAAGGCAGGUCUCUGGGCAUUAACUGACGCUGAGGAGCGAAAGCAUGGGGAGCGAACAGGAUUAGAUACCCUGGUAGUCCAUGCCGUAAACGUUGGGCACUAGGUGUGGGGGACAUUCCACGUUUUCCGCGCCGUAGCUAACGCAUUAAGUGCCCCGCCUGGGGAGUACGGCCGCAAGGCUAAAACUCAAAGGAAUUGACGGGGGGCCCGCACAAGCGGCGGAGCAUGCCGAUUAAUUCAAUGCAACGCGAAAAACCUUACCAAAGGC
rnacentral:rRNA from 1 species